UACGUAGGGUGCAAGCGUUAUCCGGAAUUAUUGGGCGUAAAGAGCGCGUAGGCGGCCCUGUAAGUCCGCUGUGAAAGUCAAGGGCUCAACCCUUGAAUGCCGGUGGAUACUGCAGGGCUAGAGUCCGGAAGAGGCGAGUGGAAUUCCUGGUGUAGCGGUGGAAUGCGCAGAUAUCAGGAGGAACACCGAUGGCGAAGGCAG
rnacentral:rRNA from 1 species